GUCUUCAGCCAUACCACCCUGAACACGUCCGAUCUCGUCUGAUCUUGGAAGCUAAGCAGGGUUGAGCCUGGUUAGUACUUGGAUGGGAGAAACUACAGAAAUAAUUAUUAGCUAUACU
ensembl:rRNA 5S_rRNA 5S ribosomal RNA